rnacentral:miRNA from 1 species
CAGGACACCCAGUUAAAUUUGAAUUUGAGACAAACAACCAAAACAUUUAGCAUAAGCAUAUCCCAUACAAUAUUGGGGACAUACUUAUACUAAACAAUCAUUCCUUGUUUAUCUGAAAUUCAAACUUACUUGAGCAUCCUGU